UCUUAUGUUUCAGUUAGGACAUCCAGGGCUUGUUGUGGUGGUAAGCUGUGUUUUGGAAACCACUCCUGCAGGUAUGGAUAUUUCAUGAGCCUCAAAUCCCAUGAAGAAAAAAUAUUUUCCUUCAAACAUUUCUGGCAAAAAAAAAAUCAAAUCUGGCAUUCAGAACAUCUGCAGAAACAAUGAGUUGACUUUGGAAAUGAAGAACACUGUAGCCCACAAUAAUCCUCUGAUUGGACAGACAUUAUAGAAACCUCCCGAGGCUGGGCAAGUGGCCAACCUGCUGUUCUUGCAAUUCAAUAAAAUAUAUCAACCAGACAGACUGUGAGCAACUGUUUUGUAAAGAGAUGAUAAUCAGGUCAGAACGGCAUUUAGACUACAUGGAAGUGUGACUCCCAAGUUACAAAAGGAGGGUAGAGUGGCAAAUCCCUCUGCUUUCAACACUUGGAGGAAAGAUGCCUGAGAAUCAGCAGUUCGAAAUCAUCCUGGUUUACAUAGAGGGUUCCAAGCCACCUGGCACUCUGCAAUCAGACUCUGUGAAGAUCACAGUAACAACAAAUAACAACAAAAACAGGAAAGGAAAGGAAACAUGUUUUCUCCAGAAAUUCAUUUGAAAUUCUAGUUAUAUCAACUUUACAAAAGAUGAACUCCUUCAUUCCAAGCCGAUGGAUUAUAGACAGUAACACACAGAUAAAUGAUUAAAAUACACAGACCUAUAAAAGUGGCAGUGCUUAACCUAUCUUUUACUUUAAGAUCAACUUACCCUUCAAGAUGGCAACAUAAAUCAUCAAAUCUGUGAAUAUUCUAUUUGUUUCAGAAAUUAAGACACA
rnacentral:lncRNA from 1 species